CACACACACACACACGUCCCAACCCCAGCUGGGCCUGGGACCUUCCACUGCUCUGAGCCCCUUUCAGCCCCCUUCCUCCUCUAGCUUUGGGAAUGAGGGGGAAGUCAUCUCAAAUUGAUUAGUGUGUUAGUACUAGUACUCGUUUUCGUUUUGGUUUUAGUUUUAUUUCCGCCACCAUUAAUAAUAAGAUAGAGAAUAAAAGUUUAUCGUGGAAAGGUGUUUCGGGUGUGGCUCUCUCUACCUCCCCACUCCCGGGGCAGCGGCCGGGGAAGGGUGGGAUCAGUACCCCAGCUGGCUGGGAGUGUCAAGGUGAGCGUCCAGCGCGGUGCAGGGCUCCUGUCAGGAAGACACAAGGCGGAACUUGUGUCCCAUUCCUGGCCAGGUCCUCAAUCCUUCUCUCAGGAAAUCUUCACGUUUAAUAGCCAACCACUCUUGGAAUAGUGGGGGUGAUUUCGGUGAUGCGAGAGGGGCACGGUCCAAAUCCUGUCUCCUACAGCCAGGCCCAGCCACCAGAACUCAUCCCUCUCCAAGCAGUGACAGAAGGGGCAGGAGGCAAAAGGAUCCCGAUCUGCUGCUAAGGGGCGCAUAGAUCCGGCGCCCUCCUGUCCCCAAGCGCGACCGGCGGGAGGCCAAAUGCAUAGCUCCAGCUCUAGGUCUGAAGGACAAGUUCCUUUCUCCCUGGCGGUGGAAUCUCGCACCACUCUAUCCCAGGUGGCCUGGCCUCGUCUUUCUCCCAGCACCUGCAGCUUCAGGAAGUCUCUGUUAAACCACAGAAUGGUCAUUUCUCCUUCAUUUAAAUGAGGUUUUGCGCAGCCCUGAAUUAUUCACCCCUGAGAUUGAACAUCAACAAUUUCUCUGUUUCUACCCUGCACCAAAGCAGUUCUGAACUCCCCAACCUGUGCAGCUAACUGUGUCCGGGAGCCAUGCGGUGAGGGCCAAGAGGAGGAAACUCGUGGUUUUGAACAUGAACUGAUUUGAGGGGGUCAGGAUCUGAGAGCUCUGAGGUUGAGCCCAGUAAGCACCAAAGGCAUUGGGCUGAAUGUGCUAGACCAGGAAGAGGGCAUAGGGGAGAGAGUAGGAACAGCCGAGGUUUCUGAGACUCCCAGCGCUCCCCUGGAGGAGAGAACCCUCUUCCCCUCCCUCCUGCCCACCCCAAGGGUCUAGCUCUCCUUAGCCACCCAGAGUUGAGUAUGGCGCCAGCGCGGUGACAGUGGCUGAGGAGCACAUGGACCCUAUCAGCCCACCCUGGGGAGCCAUGGCUGCGGAGGCCCCGACCCCUUUGCCUCCGCUGUAGGGCCAGAGAGCAUCCCUGGCUCCUAAUCCACCUGUCUAAAUGUAUCUGUCAGGAGUGACUGGCUCAUAAUUCCUGGACUCUCUAGAGAGAGCACGCGGUGGGGCCACAGACAAGAAUUACUCCUGGAAAAAGAAAAAUCAGGUUUAAAAGAAGUGAACUCUUCCUCUCCGGCGGCAUGAACACAGUACAGUCUCUGGCUCUGGGAGGUCCUGGAGACCUGGAGGAGGUUUGAGGGUCAGUGCACUGGCAGGAGGGUGCGAGAGUGGGAGCAGGGGAAGCUAUGUAGAAGAUUAGGCCUGUCCAUGACAGCGUAGGUUUGGAGUAAGGAACAGGGAAAGGGAAUGGUUUGGAUUAAAGUGGGCACGCCUAAGCCAGGAGUUCCGCGAAGGCAGCGAAGAGAGGACUAAGCACGCACAGUAUGCUCGGGGCUCCGGGGGUGCGGGGAGUGGGGACGCACCCUGCCCAGUGCUCUCCAUUGCGGAAUCUGCUAGCUUCGUCGGGCGCGAGAUACCAAGAAAGGUUGAUUUCCAGACCUUGGAGUCUCUGAGAUAAAGGAACGCCACAUCCCUGCCUCAGUCCAGUGGAUACUCGUGAUCCGGAAAAGCAGCUAAAGCCGCUUCUUCCCCCCAGUAGGUGAGGAGUCAACAGGCACACUCUAAAGACGAGGAAAUAAAGCCGGUCGUGACACCGUGAGAGCUGGUUCGCCCAACUACCCUUUCAGGGGAACGUCCACCCCACCUCUGCUGCCGAGCUUGGAAAAGUGGCAAGGAGUCGCAGUCCAGGACAAAACUCCGCCCCCGUCCCCGUGAAGGCCGCCCGUGGCUGGGGGCUACUGUAGAGGGUGGAGUUUCCCAGAGGCUACAGGAAGUACGUCAUCUUAGCAGAUCAAAUGCAGAAGCAGUUAUGAGAAUCCAGCUAUCUUCUAUUAAGCCAGACAUUAAAAUAAUUUGGGAAAGAAAGAGAGAGCAAAAUCAAUCAGAAGAAUGGAGAACUGGCUGUGCAAGGUGGCUCACGUUUGUAAUCCCAGCACUUUGAGAGGCCAAGAAACUCGGCUGCCAGCAGAGCUCUGCUUACCCCUUAGCGAUUUUGCUGACAAAUAUGUUAUCCCUCUACACCUUUCUGUCAACAACUCUCCCUCAGGACAGGUUCAAGACCUCGAUAGGAUCUGGGCACUAAAGCAAACCUGUCAGACCAGCAUGCAUUGGGAGAGCUGCCUGCUCCGCACCCUUCUUGGGGAUCUAGGUGUUUUGUCCAGCUGGCACAUUUGCACUUCAGAGGUGGGAGGGGCACGUAGCCCAGGAGAGUAUGCCAGGGGAGAGAGCACAGCCAAGCCUGGGGCCGUAAGACUGCUCAUGGCAAGAUGUAUUUAUGUUCUGUAAUGGAAUGCCAUCACUCGCUAUUUUGGAAGCAUGAUGGCAUGGAGCAACUGAAAGAUUGUGGGAUGGGUUAAAAACCACAUCCAUUACUUUAUUGCUAUGGGAACAAUAAAGGAACUGGAGCAAGUUCCUCUCUGGUCUUUAGUUACCUCCUUGGUAAAGAGGGAAUCAUAGUUCCACCUUGUAGAGUUAUAACACCUCCAACAUUCAUGUAGGUACUCAAUAAGCAGCAGCUGUUAUUAACAAACUUUCUUUUUUUUCCCUCUGUAACAGUCUAAGAUACAGAGUAGGGGCUCAGUUAAUAUUUGUUGCAUAAAUAUGGAACCCAAACAAAUAAGAUCAGAUCACAUAUUUUGAGACUAAACUACUGAGUCUGCAGGAAUAACAGUAAUAAUUGUUGCCUACACAUGAUUCUAGAAAAGCCAGAAGCCAGGUCUCUUGAAAUAGACAUUUUCAUGCCCUCUUAUUCUAUCAGGAUUUCAUUUUGUUCCCAAAUCAUUUUGACUUAAUUAGAAAGAAGAUUUUUUUUACUUUAUUUGCCUCCAAAGAAUCAAAAUAAAUAGUACUCUUCCAGAUUUUCUAAGUCAUUAUCUUAUACAAUACCAUUGGUUAAGUUCUCUUCUUCAUUACAAAAGUGACAGUUAAUUAUAGAAAAAUUGAGAAGUACAAAAAAGAAAAAAGGGGCCAAAGUAUCACCAAUAGCUGUAAAAUUGUUGGCGUAUUUUCAUGCACACUUAGUUAAUUGUGAUCCUACAUUAUAUCCAACUUUAUCUUCUGGCUUUUCUCCUUAACAUGAUGAAAUGUGGUUUUCCAAAAUAUUCCCCUAUUGUUCAUUCUGUUACCAAUUGUUCACAAUUUUAAAUAAUGCAAAAUGAAUAUAAUUCUUAAUUAUAUACUGCAGUCAGGGAAACAUUUCUUAGGCUAAGUUCCUAGAAGUGAAAUUAUUAUUUUUAAAAAUACAAACAUUCUUUGGUACAUACUAUUAAAAAGUCAUUCAAAAAUUGUUGGAGAAAUUUAUAAUCUUUCACCAGUCCUGUAUAUUCUCAUGAUAAUUGGGAAGAAAUAUUUCAUUUUAAAAAUUAUUAUUUUUUUUACCAAUGAGGCUGAAAAGCAUAAAAUAUUUAUUAAAUAAAAGUAUUUCUUUUUGGUGAAUUAUCAUAUUUUGCUUUUGCCCAUGAAUUUUUGUGGGGCGUGGUGUGAUUUUUAUUAAAUUAUAUGAUACUAUAUUUUAAGGGUUAACCUUUUGUCAAAUGUUAUAAUUAUUAAAUGUAUUUCUGGAUGCAUCUUUAUUUUGUUUAUACACCCUUUUGGAAAUUAAAGGGAUUUUAAUUCCUGUUUGGAAAAUUUCUAUUAAUAUUUUCAUUUAUGAGUUUCUUAUUGGAUUUAUCCUUUGAAUUAC
rnacentral:lncRNA from 10 species